rnacentral:rRNA from 1 species
AACGUAGGAGACAAACGUUAUCCGGAUUUACUGGGCGUAAAGGGCGUGUAGGUGGUGCUGUAAGUCUGGCGUGAAAUUUUUCGGCUUAACCGGGAAAGGUCGUCGGAUACUGCAGGACUAGAGGACGGUAGAGGCGUGUGGAAUUCCGGGUGUAGUGGUGAGAUGCGUAGAGAUCCGGAGGAACACCAGUGGCGAAGGCGACACGCUGGGCCGUACCUGACACUGAGGCGCGAUAGCAUGGGGAGCAAACAGG